AAGGAAGAUCAGGAUCUGACGACAGUACCCUGGCCUGCCCCAGACUCAGUUUCCCCAUGUGUAUGAACAGCCCCAAUAGAAAGUUUUGCUGUGUCCCUGGAGAGUCCUUUCCUACCAGGCUCUGACCAGCUGUGCUCCCCUCUAGCCCAUCCUUUGUGCAGGACAAAGAUCGGCUGAGACCUGGCUCUCAGCCCAAGUGGCCCUCAGCCCUUCGGAGGCCGUUAAUGAGAGGUGUCAGCCAGUAGCUCUUCACGAGAGCCCCGCUGCCCUGAGCAAUUUCUUAAAAGAAGAAUUCUAACCUCGAGGAGUCCUUUGAACACGUCGUGAAUGAGCAAUGAACACAGCCGGGGCGGCUUCUCAGAAUUACCGCGGGCUGCAGAUUCGUGAAAAGAGAGAUUGAUUUCCAUUUGGUCUCCUGAAUACAUUUCCCGUGUUCUCCAGGUGUUUGUCAUGCCGUGUACUAAAGACAAAACGUGCUUCCACGGACAGCGCUGGCAUCGUCUUCACGGCAGUCAAGUAUCGAUGGUAUUGAUUGCGCUGUCCCCGCAUACACAGGCGGAUGGAUGCCCACAGCCCCCGAGUGAUGUGCAGCUCCUUGUGGGGACCUGGCCCCGACCUUCAGCUUUCUCUGCUGCUCCUAGCUCACUGUACCCAGCCCCAAGCCCAUCCCAAGACCAACCACUCGGGUAUCGUCCAGUAUGUCUGCCUCAGGCUGGUUCCUUAUCUAACCCCCUCCCUACCACUCACUACACAUUCGGGAGAACUGCUGACCAGAUGGCCUAGGCCUGUAUAAGGCGUUGGCCGUGUAGACAUUUGAUGUGUACAUGGACGAGUUAGCGAGUGUAUGAAUGAAUGGGUGUGUACUCUGGUGGAGAAUGAGGAACGACACAGGUAGCCUCAGUUCUCUGGAGAUGGCCAUUGGAUUGGAAUCUGGGUCUUAGAUUCCUCCAGGACCCCCCAGACACUGGCCAGUUAGAAGCCGGAGUUGCCCCACCCCUAUGCACCCCAGAGGAAGCACCGUGACACUCCUGGAGCCAGGCUGAUCAAAGCCACCUACACAACAGCACAACAGCACCCUGCGGCCUCAGGGCUCGGGAGGCAAAUUUACAAGGAACUUCCUGAAUUGCUUUCUUUUCUGUUUUAUGAAAUACCUCUCUAAAUGUCUGCAUAUAGCUCUCUUGAGGGAUGGAGGGAGAAAAAUAGCAAUUAAAGUCUUGUCAUCAGA